AUUGAACGCUGGCGGCAGGCCUAACACAUGCAAGUCGAGCGGAUGAGGGAAGCUUGCUUCCCGAUUUAGCGGCGGACGGGUGAGUAAUGCCUAGGAAUCUGCCUAUUAGUGGGGGAUAACGUUCCGAAAGGAACGCUAAUACCGCAUACGUCCUACGGGAGAAAGUGGGGGAUCUUCGGACCUCACGCUAAUAGAUGAGCCUAGGUCGGAUUAGCUAGUUGGUGAGGUAACGGCUCACCAAGGCGACGAUCCGUAGCUGGUCUGAGAGGAUGAUCAGCCACACUGGAACUGAGACACGGUCCAGACUCCUACGGGAGGCAGCAAUGGGGAAUAUUGGACAAUGGGCGAAAGCCUGAUCCAGCCAUGCCGCGUGUGCGAAGAAGGUCCUCGGAUUGUAAAGCACUUUAAGUUGGGAGGAAGAGUUGUAAGCUAAUAUCUUGCAGCUUUGACGUUACCAACAGAAUAAGCACCGGCUAACUCUGUGCCAGCCGCCGCCGUAACAC
rnacentral:rRNA from 1 species